rnacentral:rRNA from 1 species
UACGAAGGGUGCGAGCGUUGUUCGGAAUUAUUGGGCGUAAAGCGCACGUAGGCGGCGUGGUCAGUCUCGCUGUGAAAGCCCGGGGCUCAACCCCGGGAGGCCAGGGGAUACUGCCAUGCUGGAGACAAGCAGAGGUGGGUAGAAUUCCGGGUGUAGCGGUGGAAUGCGUAGAGAUCCGGAGGAAUACCAGAGGCGAAGGCGGCCCACUGGGCUUGAUCUGACGCUGAGGUGCGAAAGCGUGGGGAGCGAACAGG